UCUUGGCCAAUGUACUCGAGUCUGAACCAGCCAAGUAGCGUGAAGGAUGACUGGCCUAUGGGUUGUAAACUCUUUUUAUAUGGGAAUAAAGUUUUCCACGUGUGGAAUUUUUUAUGUACCAUAUGAAUAAGGAUCGGCUAACUCCGUGCCAGCAGCCGCGGUAAUACGGAGGAUCCGAGCGUUAUCCGGAUUUAUUGGGUUUAAAGGGAGCGUAGGUGGACAGUUAAGUCAGUUGUGAAAGUUUGCGGCUCAACCGUAAAAUUGCAGUUGAUACUGGCUGUCUUGAGUACAGUAGAGGUGGGCGGAAUUCGUGGUGUAGCGGUGAAAUGCUUAGAUAUCACGAAGAACUCCGAUUGCGAAGGCAGCUCACUGGACUGCAACUGACACUGAUGCUCGAAAGUGUGGGUAUCAAAC
rnacentral:rRNA from 1 species